GAUGAACGCUGGCUACAGGCUUAACACAUGCAAGUCGAGGGGAAACGCCGGGGAAGCUUGCUUCCCCGGGCGUCGACCGGCGCACGGGUGAGUAACGCGUAUCCAACCUGCCUCUGACUGAGGGAUAACCCGCCGAAAGUCGGCCUAAUACCUCAUGGUAUCGUCUGCGGGCAUCCAACGACGAUUAAAGAUUUCAUCGGUCAGGGAUGGGGAUGCGUCUGAUUAGCUUGUUGGCGGGGUAACGGCCCACCAAGGCUACGAUCAGUAGGGGUUCUGAGAGGAAGGUCCCCCAGAUGGGAACUGAGACACGGGCCAAACAGCUACGGGAGACAGCAGUGAGGAAUGUAGAGCGAGGGACGAGAGCCUGAACCAGCCAAGUGGGGUGCAGGAAGACGGCGCUAGGGAUUGUAAACUGCUUGUAUGCGAGGGUAAAGUGAGGGACGUGUCCCUCAUUGAAGGUACCGAAUGAAUAAGGACCGGCUAAUUCCGUG
rnacentral:rRNA from 1 species